rnacentral:lncRNA from 1 species
UAAAAAGUUCAUUUUGUUGUAGUGACAGCUUAUAAGUUACAAGAAGUCGAGUUAAAUGUUUCAUUAUCGACCGUACUUCACACCAAGUUAUGAUUUACCCACUGAACUUUGAUAUGUUAUCCUCCAUUACACACCGGGUGAUUUCCAUCUCAGUUAAUGCGGACAUAGAAGAUGAAAAUCUGAGUUGACCUGUUAUCUCCUUCUAAAUGCCAUGUCAACACCACAUCGCACAGCCAAACACGCAUUUACCAUCUCAGAAAAGGAGGGGGGGGGGGAGGAAAUUCCUAAAUCAAUUUCAAAGCUUCAUCAUCAAACCCCAACUCAAAAUCACCUUCGAAACCCUAACGCACAAAUCAAGAAAAUCAAUUACCGAAAUCCCUCAAUCCCUGCUAUUGUUAACCAGUCUUAGAUUCCAACCCAGGAGUGAAGAAGCAGCAUCCAUUACAUUUCAGGAAUCCGAGCAAGGACUCGUUAGGGUAAAAUGGAUGGACCGUUUGAAGGUAAAUUCGAAACACCUUAUGUUUUUGUGUUCAAGCAUAUCAAAAAGUUAAGAAUUAUGCAAGUGUGGGUUGUCUGAUUAUUGUGGGUUAGAUGAGACUGAGAAAUUAGACCCAGGUUUUUUUUGUGCUUGUGUUGUUGAAUUAAUGAUCCUGUAUUACUAUUAUCACUGUUUUGUUAGUAAAAAAACUAAUUUCUAAAAUUAUAUUUUGGAAAGAAAAAUAAGCUUAAAGAGAUCUUCUAGUCUCCCCAGUUUGAAUUUUGGCUUUCUUAAGUUUGACUUCUUGGCCGCGACAAACUUGGAAUACCAAUGGGAUUGAUGCUUUGAUUCAAUUUAAUUGACUGUGAUUUCCCAUAUAUGUUUGAGGCCUUAUUAUUAUCAUAUUAAUUUAACCCUAGUCAUACUAAUAUUCCAAGUUAAUCUUUUAAAGCUCUUUUCCGAGUGUUUCUCCCUUUAUUUAUGUAAAUAUCACUGGACUUUCAUCACUUGGAACACCAAUGCAAAAUGCUCUAGGAAAUUGGUGUUUGAAUAAAUGUUUAAAUUUUGAUCUAAUGCAUGUACUCUUGUUUAACGUGCUUUACUUAUAUGGCAGAUUGUGAGGAUGAUUCGGACUUCAUAGAUUCAGAUCAUGACUUUGAGUCCGAGCAAAACGACAUCGAACAUGAUAUAAAUUCACACCGAAGGGAUUGAAAUUGGAGUGGACGACUGCCAAGGUGAAGUUCAAGAUGAAUGGGAAGUGUUGUAUAAAGGUCAUUUUGUACCUAUAUCAAGCAUAUAACCUGUCAGAUUAUAUUUUCAUUGCGUUAGGUUGGUUUAUGUUGUACCUAACGCUUUCUAACUGAAAUAUUUAAGCUCUUAAAGUAUUAAUAAUAGAAGUAUCUUUUCCAAAAAUUAUGAUAUCCGAAGUAAUUGUUAAACUUCAAUUUCUACUUAAUAAGAAUUUUAUACCUAUAACGAGU